AGAGUUUGAUCCUGGCUCAGAUUGAACGCUGGCGGCAGGCCUAACACAUGCAAGUCGAGCGGAUGAAGGUAGCUUGCUACCUGAUUCAGCGGCGGACGGGUGAGUAAUGCCUAGGAAUCUGCCCGAUAGUGGGGGAUAACGUUCCGAAAGGAACGCUAAUACCGCAUACGUCCUACGGGAGAAAGCGGGGGAUCUUCGGACCUCGCGCUAUCGGAUGAGCCUAGGUCGGAUUAGCUAGUUGGUGGAGUAAAGGCUCACCAAGGCGACGAUCCGUAGCUGGUCUGAGAGGAUGAUCAGCCACACUGGAACUGAGACACGGUCCAGACUCCUACGGGAGGCAGCAGUGGGGAAUAUUGGACAAUGGGCGAAAGCCUGAUCCAGCCAUGCCGCGUGUGUGAAGAAGGUCUUCGGAUUGUAAAGCACUUUAAGUUGGGAGGAAGGGUUGUAACCUAAUACGUUGCAACUUUGACGUUACCGACAGAAUAAGCACCGGCUAACUUCGUGCCAGCAGCCGCGGUAAUAC
rnacentral:rRNA from 1 species